rnacentral:rRNA from 1 species
UACGUAGGGGGCUAGCGUUGUCCGGAAUCAUUGGGCGUAAAGAGCGUGUAGGCGGCCCGGUAAGUCCGCUGUAAAAGUCAAAGGCUCAACCUUUGAAUGUCAGUGGAUACUGCCGGGCUAGAGUCCGGAAGAGGCGAGUGGAACUCCUGGUGUAGCGGUGGAAUGCGCAGAUAUCAGGAAGAACACCAACGGCGAAGGCAGCUCGCUAGGACGGUACUGGCGCUGAGACGCGAAAGCGUGGGGAGCAAACAGG